rnacentral:rRNA from 1 species
UACGUAGGGGGCAAGCGUUGUCCGGAAUCAUUGGGCGUAAAGAGCGUGUAGGCGGUUCAGUAAGUCUGCUGUGAAAGUCCAGGGCUCAACCCUGGGAUGCCGGUGGAUACUGCUGGGCUAGAGUACGGAAGAGGCGAGUGGAAUUCCCGGUGUAGCGGUGAAGUGCGCAGAUAUCGGGAGGAACACCUAUUGCGAAGGCGGGUCUCUGGGCCGAUACUGACGCUGAGGAGCGAAAGCGUGGGGAGCAAACAGG